AUUGAACGCUGGCGGCAGGCCUAACACAUGCAAGUCGAGCGGAAACGAUGGAAGCUUGCUUCCAGGCGUCGAGCGGCGGACGGGUGAGUAAUGCAUGGGAAUCUGCCCGAUAGUGGGGGAUAACCUGGGGAAACCCAGGCUAAUACCGCAUACGUCCUACGGGAGAAAGCAGGGGAUCUUCGGACCUUGCGCUAUCGGAUGAGCCCAUGUCGGAUUAGCUUGUUGGUGAGGUAAUGGCUCACCAAGGCGACGAUCCGUAGCUGGUCUGAGAGGAUGAUCAGCCACAUCGGGACUGAGACACGGCCCGAACUCCUACGGGAGGCAGCAGUGGGGAAUAUUGGACAAUGGGCGAAAGCCUGAUCCAGCCAUGCCGCGUGUGUGAAGAAGGCCCUCGGGUUGUAAAGCACUUUCAGUGAGGAAGAAAGCCUUGGGAUUAAUACUCCCGAGGAAGGACAUCACCCACAGAAGAAGCACCGGCUAACUCCGUGCCAGCAGCCGCGGUAAUACGGAGGGUGCGAGCGUUAAUCGGAAUUACUGGGCGUAAAGCGCGCGUAGGCGGUCUGAUAAGCCGGUUGUGAAAGCCCCGGGCUCAACCUGGGAACGGCAUCCGGAACUGUCAGGCUAGAGUGCAGGAGAGGAAGGUAGAAUUCCCGGUGUAGCGGUGAAAUGCGUAGAGAUCGGGAGGAAUACCAGUGGCGAAGGCGGCCUUCUGGACUGACACUGACGCUGAGGUGCGAAAGCGUGGGUAGCAAACA
rnacentral:rRNA from 1 species